UACGGAGGGUGCAAGCGUUAUCCGGAUUUACUGGGUUUAAAGGGUGCGUAGGUGGGCAGAUAAGUCAGCGGUGAAAUCUCCGGGCUUAACUCGGAAACUGCCAUUGAUACUAUUUGUCUUGAAUAUCCUGGAGGUGAGCGGAAUAUGUCAUGUAGCGGUGAAAUGCUUAGAUAUGACAUAGAACACCCAUUGCGAAGGCAGCUCACUACGGGAUCAUUGACACUGAGGCACGAAAGCGUGGGGAUCAAACAGG
rnacentral:rRNA from 1 species